GAUGAACGCUCGCUACAGGCUUAACACAUGCAAGUCGAGGGGAAACGCCAUUGAAGCUUGCUUCGAUGGUCGUCGACCGGCGCACGGGUGAGUAACGCGUAUCCAACCUGCCUCUGACCAAGGGAUAACCCGUCGAAAGUCGGCCUAAUACCUUAUGCAGUCGUCGGAAGUCAUCUGAUGACGACGAAAGAUUUCAUCGGUGAGAGAUGGGGAUGCGUCUGAUUAGCUUGUUGGCGGGGUAACGGCCCACCAAGGCAACGAUCAGUAGGGGUUCUGAGAGGAAGGUCCCCCACAUUGGAACUGAGACACGGUCCAAACUCCUACGGGAGGCAGCAGUGAGGAAUAUUGGUCAAUGGGCGAGAGCCUGAACCAGCCAAGUAGCGUGCAGGAUGACGGCCCUAUGGGUUGUAAACUGCUUUUAUGCGGGGAUAAAGUGAGGGACGUGUCCUUCAUUGCAGGUACCGCAUGAAUAAGGACCGGCUAAUUCCGUG
rnacentral:rRNA from 1 species